rnacentral:rRNA from 1 species
CUGAUCCAGCCAUGCCGCGUGAGUGAUGAAGGCCUUAGGGUCGUAAAGCUCUUUCGCCUGUGAAGAUAAUGACUGUAGCAGGUAAAGAAACCCCGGCUAACUCCGUGCCAGCAGCCGCGGUAAUACGGAGGGGGUUAGCGUUGUUCGGAAUUACUGGGCGUAAAGCGCGCGUAGGCGGACUGGAAAGUUGGGGGUGAAAUCCCAGGGCUCAACCCUGGAACUGCCUCCAAAACAUCAGUCUAGAGUUCGAGAGAGGUGAGUGGAAUUCCGAGUGUAGAGGUGAAAUUCGUAGAAUUCGGAGGAACACCGUGGCGAAGGCGGCUACUGGCUCGAUACUGACGCUGAGGUGCGAAAGUGUGGGGAGCAAACAGGAUUAGAUACCCUGGUAGCCACACGUAAACGAUGAAUGCCAGUCGUCGGGUAGCAUGCUACGGUGACCACCUAACGGAUUAAGCAUUCCGCCUGGGGAGUACGGUCGCAAGAUUAAACUCAAAGGAAUGACGGGGGCCCGCACAAGCGGUGGACAUGUGGUUUAAUUCGAAGCAACGCGCAGAACCUUACCAACCCUUGACAUCCUAGGACCGCCAGAGAGAUUGGCUUUCACUUCGGUGACCUAGUGACAGGUGCUGCAUGGCUGUCGUCAGCUCGUGUCGUGAGAUGUUCGGUUAAGUCCGGCAACGAGCGCAACCCACAUCCUUAGUUGCCAGCAUUCGGCUGGGCACUCUAGGGAAACUGCCCGUGAUAAGCGGGAGGAAGGUGUGGAUGACGUCAAGUCCUCAUGGCCCUUACGGGUUGGCUACACACGUGCUACAAUGGGGGUUAAUCCCAAAAAACUGUCUCAGUUCGGAUGGGGUCUGCAACUCGCCCAUGAAGUCGGAAUCGCUAGUAAUCGCGUA